GAGUUUGAUCCUGGCUCAGAUUGAACGCUGGCGGCAUGCUUACACAUGCAAGUCGAACGGCAGCACGGGGGCAACCCUGGUGGCGAGUGGCGAACGGGGAGUAAUGCAUCGGAACGUACCCAGUCGUGGGGGAUAACGUAGCGAAAGUUACGCUAAUCCGCAUACGACCUGAGGGUGAAAGUGGGGGACCGCAAGGCCUCACGCGAUUGGAGCGGCGAUGUCAGAUUAGCUAGUUGGUGGGGUAAAGGCCCACCAAGGCGACGAUCUGUAGCGGGCUGAGAGGAUGAUCCGCCACACUGGGACUGAGACACGGCCCAGACUCCUACGGGAGGCACAGUGGGGAAUUUUGGACAAUGGGGGCAACCCUGAUCCAGCCAUGCCGCGUGCGGGAAGAGGCCUUCGGGUUGUAAACCGCUUUCGGACGGAAAGAAAUCGCCUGGGCUAAUACCCCGGUGGAUGACGGUACCGUAAGAAGAAGCACCGGCUAACUACGUGCCAGCAGCCGCGGUAAU
rnacentral:rRNA from 1 species